rnacentral:rRNA from 1 species
GGCUUGCUAGACUAAGCCAUGCAUGCCUUCGAAUAGAAGAGCAUUUCUCUCUGAAUCUGCGAACGGCUCCGCACACCAGUUGUAAACUAUAGCAAGUCUGUGCGGGUAGGGAGCAAUCCUUACCCGUACUAACAGGGAUAACCCUGGUAAUCCUGAGGCUAAUACAAGAACGUAAAACUCGGUCGACUGGGCAACCGGAAGGUCGAGGGUCGUGUGACGCUUUAUUGCAACGCUCGACAUGAAUGGGUGCACGAUCAAACCACCAUACCAAACGGAUUAGUCGGGAAGCCUUAACGGGUGAAACGGCUAGCUCGGGUGGGUCUUGCUGUGUGCUUCUGACCUAUCAACUAGAUGGCAGCGUAAAGGACAUGCUAUGGUGACAACGGGUACAGAGGAUAAGGGUUCGAUCCUGGAGAGUGGGCCUGAGAGAUUGCUCACACUUCUAAGGAAGGCAGCAGGCGCGUAACGUUCCCAUUGGGCAAAGCCUGAGGGCGUUAGGGGACAUAUGAAUGCUUGCCUUAUGGUAGGCAAUUCAAAUGGGUUCGUUCUAAACAACCCUUCGAGUAACAAUU